UCAGACGAUGCGUCAUGCAUAUCAAUAAGCGGAGGAAAAGAAACUAACAAGGAUUCCCUUAGUAACGGCGAGUGAAGCGGGAAGAGCUCAAAUUUGAAAUCUUCAAGGUUCUACCUUGACGAAUUGUAGUUUAAAGAAGUGUUUUCGGUUAGAGGAGUAGGUAAAAGUUCUUUGGAAUAGGACAUCAUAGAGGGUGAGAAUCCCGUAUUUGACUAUUCUUUCUAGCUUUGUGAUACACUUUCAAAGAGUCGGAUUGUUUGGGAAUGCAGUCCAAAAUGGGUGGUAAAUUUCAUCUAAAGCUAAAUAUUGGCGAGAGACCGAUAGCGAACAAGUACCGUGAGGGAAAGAUGAAAAGAACUUUGAAAAGAGAGUUAAACAGUACGUGAAAUUGUCAAAAGGGAAGCGUUUGACACCAGUGUUGUUUUCUCGAAAAUCAAUUAAAAAGAGUUGGAUUUUGUGUUGUAUUGACCUUAACAGCUUGCUUCACUCUUUUCCUGCUUUUUUUAAUGCACUUUUCGUUUAACAAGUCGACAUCAAUUUCUUUUGUUGUAAAAGGGUCAUUGGAAGGUGGCUUUCUCUUCGGAGAAAGUGUUUAUAGCCUUUGAUCUCUGCAAUCGGAGAGACUGAGGUCUGCAGCGUAGAUCCUUCGGGGUUAGAUACAUUCGUGCUAAGUUACAGCUUUUCAUAGACAACUUGUUGACUAUGUUUAGUCUUGUAACUUACCCGCUUAUGCUAUUUUACCUACGCUUAGGAUGUUGAUAUGCAUGACUGAUAU
rnacentral:rRNA from 1 species